rnacentral:lncRNA from 1 species
AGAGCGCCGUGGACGUCUGCAACUGGAAAUCCGGGCUCCCACAUCAGAUGAGAUCCAUAUUACUGUGGGUGAGGCCCGGAACCUCAUUCCUAUGGACCCCAAUGGCCUGUCUGAUCCCUAUGUGAAACUGAAGCUCAUCCCGGACCCUCGGAACCUGACAAAACAGAAGACAAAGACCGUGAAAGCCACACUGAAUCCCGUGUGGAACGAGACCUUCGUGUUGUGAGCUCUGGGGCUGUGAUGAGAGAAAGAGAAGGAUCUGCGGGUCCUAGUAGUACACAAGCCCAGGGUGCUGGGGGGCAGGGGCGUGUUAGGAUGGACAACAUCUCUAAUAAGAGGCUGGAGAAGGUGGGAGACAGGAAAGGGAUGAUUGAGAGAGGGAGCCGCCGAGAGAUGGGUCUCUGGGUAUUAACUUCCCUUCAGUGUGCUAGGCUUGUGAGAAUGAGAUCAGAGGUCAUGCAGAGGACUAGAAAGACAGGACUCUCAAGAAGUAGA